ensembl:ncRNA lncRNA:CR45581 long non-coding RNA:CR45581
AGCAGCAGCGGCGAAAACAACGUCGAAGUUCAAAGUUGGCUCUUGCUGUAGGCCGCCGAAAGUUGCCCUAAGUACCAAGGCACACACACAUGCUCGCAAAACGAGAAGAUGCAGGAUGCGGGGGAGGAUGUGGAGUCGGAGUCGGAGGCGGUGGAAGCUUCUAUGGACUCAUCCAUGACAAAGGACCCUGAGUUGUGUGCCCUGGAAUUUUGCAUGAGCCGCCAGUCACCGCAAAUAGUGAAGGGAUACACACGCACCCACCAUCACCACCAUCUUCACCAUCUCAACCUGCCCAACUGCCCAGGUAAACUGUCAACUUAAGCCCGGUGAGAGGCCAUAAAUUGCCUCCGGAGGUGGAGUUGGAACUAGUGAAACCGACAAGACGCUGACAUUAACUAGGCCAGAUAUUGAGACAGCUCCGAAACGGAUAUGAGGCGCCC